ACUCCAGCAUGGGCAACAGAGACCUUGUCUUAAAAAAAAAAAAGGUCAACAUUUAGGUACCUCUUUAUUAUAUUCAAAGCAUUAAACCAGGCACAG